AAACCCUGCCUCAAAAAAAAAGAAAAGAAAAGAAAAAAAAAAGAUUUUAUUAUUAUACAUAAGUACACUGUAGCUGACUUCAGACAGACCAGAAGAGGGUAUUAGAUCUCAUUACGAGUGGUUGUGAGCCACCGUGUGGUUGCUGGGAUUUGAACUUAGGACCUUCAGCAGCACUCUUACCUGCUGAGCCAUCUCUACAGCCCCACUGCUAGAUUGUUAAUGCAAGGGUUUAAGAGUGGCAUGGGCUGAGUGGUGGAUUGGUAGGUAGGGAAUCCCUGGAACUGAAUGGGUAAUCAGAAACUGGGUCCAACAUGGACUUCAGGCUUCUUGUAGCAGAACAUUCUCUUUAAUCCCUUUAAGUGGCAGAAAAUAUUUAGAGUUUACAGCUUUUCCCUCCAUGGCAUCUUGGUGUGAGAGGGCGAAUUGGUAUAUUUUUACUGAUCUUGUCUAGAAACAAAUAAAUUAUUGUAAGAAAAUGAUACUACGCUCUGCUGUCGAACACCUGGCUUUACCAUCCUCGCUGCUUACUGGCUCAGACACAUGCUUGUAUGUGCGCACAGAUGGAAAAUGGUGUGGGUUUGUCUUGCAUUACCCUGGGAUCCAGACGAAUCUUGUCAAGUUGAGCUUCUAUCUUUUGUUAAGACAACUUAGCAAGCUGUAGUUUCAGUAGAUUCUCUUCUGGUGUCUUGGCUCCAUUUAUUUCCUGUGAACAUAAUAAACUGUCCUAAUGCAGUGUUUGGCUUUUUCCACAUUUUUGUCAUUUGAAUUUUUUCUUCCGAGUUUUAAAACUUUUUUUAUGUUUAUCUUGGCAAUUUUUUUUUCCUCUAAAAGCAAUUUAACUUAAUGCUUUAGGAAGAUAGUGAUGGGACUUCAAAUUAGAUAUUAUCACAUUCAAUCUUUGUGAAAUAGUUCAUGACCAAAAAGGGACUAAGAAGAACAUUCCUGUAUGGUAUAGUGAGAGUUUAUAUAUUUACCACCAGUUUGUCCGUGGGCAAUCAUCCUGAUUGAAGUUGUUUUCAGGUUUUUAGUUUCUCUGUUAGCUCUCUGUUAUUCUUACUGUUGAUACCUUUGUGUUAGCAUUAGAUUUUUUAAAUUGGUCAUUAGUGAACUGCUUUUUCCUCAUUUUUGUUGGAAAAUAUUAGAGUAUUAAAGCUGUGCAGAUUUGAAAAAAAGAUGCCUGGCAUGAUGGCACAGCCUAAUUCCAGCAUGUCAGAGGCAAGGGCAUCUCAGUUCUU
rnacentral:lncRNA from 1 species